AUUAAUUUUUUUGUUGUUAAUUCACUAAAGCAAAAAAAUACCCAAGUUCCACCAAAAUCUUACAAAGCCACGUUUAGAGUGAAAGAGUGGAGCAAAUUUUCUGAUUUUGGUUACAAAAUAAAAAGGGAAAAUGAGAAAAAGUUCCAUGGUCAAUACUCCAUUAAUGUUGCCUUCUUCCUCACGCUUCCAUGGCCAUUUGGCACACAUGCCAUCACACUCCCUUCUUCUUCCUCAGUCAAAAAUCCUGCCACCAAUCCAUCAGCUUAGCUUCUUCAAACCAAAAAUUCAGAAUUUUUACUUCAAUUAUCUCCCUCCCAACCACUGAUUUUGUAUUCUUGAUUUCAUUAUAAAUAGCCAUGAAAAUCUCUCACCAAGAACACCAUUAAAAACAAUCUUCAUCCUCUCUUCUUUUACUAAUCAGAAUUUCAGUCAACAACUCGCCGGAAAACAUGACCCAAAGAAACCCAAAAAGAAAACCUCAAUUCUCUCUCUCCUCUAUUUCGGGAUUUCAAACACCACCACCACCACCGGCUGCCGCCGACUCGCGCGACACCUGCGCCACGCUCAGUCGUGCGCCCCCCACCUCGGCGUCGCUCGCCGGCCACCUGCGCGACUCGUCGGAGAUCCGACAGCUAGCAGCCUCGCUCUCUCUCCUCCUCGCACUCUUCUUCUUUGCGCGACGCUGCAACCACGCCAUCGACGCCCGACGCCAGCAACGUCCCGUCGCCGCUCCACAGUCCUCGCCGCUGCUCGUCGUCGCUGCCAUUCGCCAAAAUCGUCCCGCCAAAAUUAUCGUUUCCUUCCCUGCUCUUAGUAGCAGUCUAGCAGAGGUACCGAUGGUGAUGACGGGAUGGCAUAGCAGUGAGGAUUUAUUUAAUAUCUAGACAUAUGCAGACUCUCAUGGUUUUAGUUUGAGUUAAUGUUAAACUCUGAUUAGUAAUUAAGUUUCUAUUAAUCAAGACUAAUGUUGGAUCCAUUUUAUAUUCCAUAUUUAUAAUAUGUUUAAAUUUAUGAGUU